rnacentral:rRNA from 1 species
GACAGAGGAUGCAAGCGUUAUCCGGAAUGAUUGGGCGUAAAGCGUCUGUAGGUGGCUUUUUAAGUCCGCCGUCAAAUCCCAGGGCUCAACCCUGGACAGGCGGUGGAAACUACCAAGCUGGAGUACGGUAGGGGCAGAGGGAAUUUCCGGUGUAGCGGUGAAAUGCGUAGAGAUCGGGAAGAACACCAAUGGCGAAAGCACUCUGCUGGGCCGAAACUGACACUGAGAGACGAAAGCUAGGGGAGCGAAUGGG